GACGAACGCUGGCGGCGUGCUUAACACAUGCAAGUCGAACGAGAAUCUGUGGAUCGAGGAUUCGUCCAAGUGAAGCAGAGGACAGUGGCGGACGGGUGAGUAACGCGUGAGGAACCUGCCUUUCAGAGGGGGGACAACAGUUGGAAACGACUGCUAAUACCGCAUGAUACGUUUUAGGGGCAUCCCUGAGACGUCAAAGAUUUAUCGCUUCAAGAUGGCCUCGCGUCUGAUUAGCUGGUUGGCGGGGUAACGGCCCACCAAGGCGACGAUCAGUAGCCGGACUGAGAGGUUGAACGGCCACAUUGGGACUGAGAUACGGCCCAGACUCCUACGGGAGGCAGCAGUGGGGAAUAUUGGGCAAUGGGCGCAAGCCUGACCCAGCAACGCCGCGUGAAGGAAGAAGGCUUUCGGGUUGUAAACUUCUUUUAAGAGGGAAGAGCAGAAGACGGUACCUCUAGAAUAAGCCACGGCUAACUACGUG
rnacentral:rRNA from 1 species